AUUGAACGCUGGCGGCAUGCUUUACACAUGCAAGUCGAACGGCAGCGCGGGCUUCGGCCUGGCGGCGAGUGGCGAACGGGUGAGUAAUACAUCGGAACGUGCCCAGUAGUGGGGGAUAGCUCGGCGAAAGCCGGAUUAAUACCGCAUACGACCUGAGGGUGAAAGCGGGGGAUCUUCGGACCUCGCGCUAUUGGAGCGGCCGACGGCAGAUUAGCUAGUUGGUGGGGUAAGGGCCUACCAAGGCGACGAUCUGUAGCUGGUCUGAGAGGACGACCAGCCACACUGGGACUGAGACACGGCCCAGGCUCCUACGGGAGGCAGCAGUGGGGAAUUUUGGACAAUGGGCGAAAGCCUGAUCCAGCAAUGCCGCGUGUGUGAUGAAGGCCUUCGGGUUGUAAAGCACUUUUGGCGGGAACGAAAAGGACUGUGCCAAUACCACGGUUCGAUGACGGUACCCGCAGAAUAAGCACCGGCUAACUACGUG
rnacentral:rRNA from 1 species